rnacentral:rRNA from 1 species
CAGUCGCCACGGGAACACGGAGGGUGCAAGCGUUAUCCGGAUUUAUUGGGUUUAAAGGGUCCGUAGGCGGAUCUGUAAGUCAGUGGUGAAAUCUCACAGCUUAACUGUGAAACUGCCAUUGAUACUGCAGGUCUUGAGUAAAUUUGAAGUGGCUGGAAUAAGUAGUGUAGCGGUGAAAUGCAUAGAUAUUACUUAGAACACCAAUUGCGAAGGCAGGUCACUAAGAUUUAACUGACGCUGAUGGACGAAAGCGUGGGGAGCGAACAGGAUUAGAUACCCGUGUAGUCCCUGUCUCUUAUAA